rnacentral:lncRNA from 12 species
GGCACUUUUGUCAUUUGGCCUUGCAGCAUUUUCAAGGUGAGUUAUUAAAGAAAUGACUUUCAGGGGAGACUGGAAAUCUCAAUGGGGAGCCCUACUUCUCCACCCAGCGUGGAGUGCCUAAGUUCUGCUUUGGGUGUGACAGUCAUCACCUCUGCCUGUUAGGGGGUUGUAUUAAGAAGUGACACUUAACAAAGGCAUCUCCAAUUCCACCACUUCCAUUUGGGCUUUUGGCACAUUUGCUUUGAGUUUCCGGCUUUGAUGUUGGGCCUGGUUCAGCCGGCUCUGGGGUUGGGGAGUGAGAGCUGCAGUGAGCAGGAGGGAGGCUCUGUGUUUGAACUGGCACAGUGAUUGAUUAACCCUUUCUGCAGCUUCUCUGGUGAAAAAUAGAUGGCUGGGCAAAGCAGGCUCCAGAUGGCCACAGGAUGUAGGCUACAUUUCCUGAGAUGCUGAUCUGGGGGGUUGUAUGCUCUGCAACAGAUUGAGUUUGACAUGUGGCCAUACUAGCAUGUGAACCCCGGGAAGACUGGUUUCCUGGAGUGCCUUUGAGUAGUUUGGGAGUGGAGAUUUCCUUCUAUCCACAAAUUUCAAUCUCAGGGUAGCUCUGGUCCCCUCACAGCACACAAAGCAAUCCAAAAAGAAGGGACAAAAAUAAACUCUCAAAUAAAGCCUGUUUACAGCUUAUUUUGGUCUUGGUUCUUUGUUUUGCAUUUUGUAAACUCCACUGUCAAUUAGGUGAAGAGAAAGAAAGAAAAGGAAAGGAACUGGAGGAGGGAAGGAAAGAAAGAAGGAAGGAGACUACGAUACUAAUUUUAAAUAAUUGGCCUUCUAAAGAAGUUUGUGAAACACAACACUGUUGCCAUAACAUUCAGCCUAGUCUUUACAGCUACUCAUUCUGAGAAUGGGAGACUUGGUUAUCUGCCAUCAUGACACCAAUUUGGACCCCUGGGACCAACGGCAGCCACCAGGCCAAGCUCCUCACCCAACCCUUGGUUGGGUUGAAAUCAAACCAAAAAACAGAAC